AUUGAACGCUGGCGGCAUGCCUUACACAUGCAAGUCGAACGGUAACAGGUCUUCGGAUGCUGACGAGUGGCGAACGGGUGAGUAAUGCAUCGGAACGUGCCCAGUAGUGGGGGAUAGCCCGGCGAAAGCCGGAUUAAUACCGCAUACGACCUGAGGGUGAAAGGGGGGGAUCGCAAGACCUCUCGCUAUUGGAGCGGCCGAUGUCAGAUUAGGUAGUUGGUGGGGUAAAGGCCUACCAAGGCAACGAUCUGUAGUUGGUCUGAGAGGACGACCAGCCACACUGGGACUGAGACCCGGCCCAGACUCCUACGGGAGGCAGCAGUGGGGAAUUUUGGACAAUGGGCGCAAGCCUGAUCCAGCAAUGCCGCGUGCAGGAAGAAGGCCUUCGGGUUGUAAACUGCUUUUGUCAGGGAAGAAAUCUUCUGGGUUAAUACCUCGGGAGGAUGACGGUACCUGAAGAAUAAGCACCGGCUAACUACGUGCCAGCCGCCGCAGUAA
rnacentral:rRNA from 1 species